rnacentral:rRNA from 1 species
CCUACGGGAGGCAGCAGUGGGGAAUAUUGGACAAUGGGCGAAAGCCUGAUCCAGCCAUGCCGCGUGUGUGAAGAAGGUCUUCGGAUUGUAAAGCACUUUAAGUUGGGAGGAAGGGCAGUAAGCUAAUACCUUGCUGUUUUGACGUUACCGACAGAAUAAGCACCG